GAUGAACGCUGGCGGCGUGCCUAACACAUGCAAGUCGAACGAAACACCUUAUUUCUUUUUCUUCUGAACUUAGCGUUUGGCGGUUGAGUGACGCAUGGGUGAGUUACGUGUGAGUAACCUGCCCUUUCCAGGGGCCUAACCUUCUGAAAUGACUGCUAAUCCCGCAUAUGACCCCAGCACCACAUGCUGCCUUGGUAACACCUCCGGUGGUACAGGAUGGACCCUCGCUUGUUUAUCUGGUUGGUGAGUUACCGGCCCACCAAGGCGACGAUCAGUAGCCGGGAUGAGAGAGUGAACGGAGACAUUGGGGCGGGGACGCGGCCCAAAAUCCUACGGGAGGGAGCAGUGGGGGAUAUUGCACAAUGGGGGAAACCAUGAUGCAGCGACGAUGGGUGAGUGAAGAAGUAUUGCGGUAUGUAAUGCUCUAUUAGCAGGGAAGAAAAUGACGGUACCUGACUAAGAAGCCACGGCUAACUACGUG
rnacentral:rRNA from 1 species